UAAGGAAUAUUGGUCAAUGGACGCAAGUCUGAACCAGCCAUGCCGCGUGAAGGAUGAAGGUCCUCUGGAUUGUAAACUUCUUUUAUCUGGGACGAAAACGGGAUUUUUAUCUCAAUUGACGGUACCAGAGGAAUAAGCACCGGCUAACUCCGUGCCAGCAGCCGCGGUAAUACGGAGGGUGCAAGCGUUAUCCGGAUUCACUGGGUUUAAAGGGUGCGUAGGUGGGCAGAUAAGUCAGUGGUGAAAUCUUCCGGCUUAACCGGGAAACUGCCGUUGAUACUAUUUGUCUUGAAUAUUGCGGAGGUAAGCGGAAUAUGUCAUGUAGCGGUGAAAUGCUUAGAUAUGACAUAGAACACCAAUUGCGAAGGCAGCUUACUACACAAUCAUUGACACUGAGGCACAAAAGCGUGGGUAGCGAACA
rnacentral:rRNA from 1 species